AUUUAGGAAACCUGAUCUGAACCUCUGUACAGGCUAAACCAUUGUCUCACAAAAUACUCCAGAUGGAAGUGAAAAAGUUGUGUUUUAAAGGAAGGAUGAAAUGAGAAACAAAGUGAAAUAUUACAGUAUCCAUCUGGAAGAGAUAUGGAUGAGGGAAAGAAAACAUAAUUCUAUUAACUCUUUGGGAUUUUUAGAUUAUACUUCAUAUAGGAGGAGGGCAGUUGUCAGCUAUGGAGAAUCACCCAGCUAUAUUAACUAUGCCAGCAAUGUGGUACUCUGCAGUACCUGCUUUGCACAUCCAUUUGAAUCUAUUAACAUUAUGACUGCUAUUCAGAAAUGCUGAGACACUACUUUCCAUUCAAGUACUGAAGACAAGAAAAAUUGGUGCCUCCCAAGAUCUGGCAAUUUUGGCAAUUGAAACAACCUGAUGGAAAUCUGGGAAACACAGAAAUCAGACCCGUGAGGUCUGUGCUCCAAGCUGGAAAGGAAAGUCAUACAACAGAUGGACAUUAAAGAUGGGAAGAUCAAAGAGUGACAUCACUGAGCGCAAGCUCUCAUAGUGGAGGACCAGGUGGAGAGCAGAAGGAUAAAAUUAAUAUGAUGUUUGCUGCUACCAGCAGGCAAGAAGACCAGAGCAAACGCAGCUACAUGUGCAGAACUCCUCAUCAGCUGGUGCUAGUUUGCCAGGAUUAUCCCCAGCAGCUUGCUUAAAUCCAUCUCAUAUAAUAUUACCAUGCCGACCCACGGUUGUCCUUGUAUCAGAUCAAUGUGUUAUGUUUUAAAUGAGCUGUGAGGCAUAUGUCAAAGGUAUUUAGACAGUAGUGCUAGGUAAGUUCCUUAUAGGUUCUGAAGGAAUAACUUUAGCACUAUGUAAUUCCUUAGGCUUCAUUUUAAACACAAAAUAUUUAAUUUAUUAUUUAUAAAAUAACAACACUUAUUGAACACAAUUUUUAGGCACUAACCUAAGCACUUUACAUGCAUUAGUCACUUAAGGCUCACAAUAUUCACACUGGGCAUUAAUGUUAUACGCAUUUUGAAGAUAAGGGGAAGAAAAGUAAGAUUAAGAUGUUAAAUAAGGUCCUGAGGUAACCCAGCUAAGAAAUUGAGGCAUUGAAAUCCAGCUGUCUGAUUGUGGAAUUCUCACAAUUGUGCUUGGAGGAUUUGGAUUGCUGUUAUAAUUCAAUGAGAUUUAUCUUAUUCCAAGCAAGUUUUCCUUAUUUUUUUUAAAGAUUUACUUAUUUAUUUGAAAGGCAGAAUUACAGAGAGAGAGGGCCAGAGAGAGAAAGAGAUCUUUCUUCACUCCCCAAAUGGCUGCAAUGGCCAAGGCCAGAUCAGGACGAAGCCGGGAGCCUAGAAAUUCACCUGAUCUCCCUUGUGGGUGGCCAUAUUUCACUGUUUUCCCAGAUGUAUGGGCAGGGUGCUGGAUUGAAAGUGGAGGCUCUGGGACCCAAACCAGCACUCAUACUGCGUGUUGGUGUCAUAGUGGUGGCUUAACCCACUGCACCACAUCCCUGGCACUGUUUACUUAUGGAUGAUCAUUAUUUAUAAACUUAAAGUUAUAUUUGGUCCAAACAAAAAAUUGUUUUAUAAGCUUUUUAGUUGUAUUGUUUUUAUUACCCUCUUCAUCCUAGUAUAAGUUCAAUGAUAUUUUGUUGGAUUUAAGUUCUGAUCCUCCCACUACUAUGAGGCUAGGCGCCACUCAACUAUCUAGAAAAGGUCACCAAAUCACUUUAAUUAUUUGAGAGUCAGAGAGAGAGAGUAAAGGAGAAAGAGAUAAGGAAAGGGGUUGGGAAAGGGAGAGGGAGAGAGAAUGAGAAGAAAUGUCUCCCAUCUGUUGUUUCACUCCUUAGAUGCUUACAACAGCUGGGGCUGGAUCUCAAAUGGGUCUGUGUCUCCCAUGUGGGUGGCAGGGACCCAGUGCUACCCAGGGUACACAUUUGCUGGAAGCUAGAAUGGGAGUGGAGCAGAGACUCAAGCUGAGGUAGUCUGAUACAGCAUGCCAUUGUCUCAAUGAUGUCUUAACCACUUGGCCAAAUGCCCAACCCCUACUUCAUUUUUGAAGAAAUGAGAUUUAGAUAAAGAAAUCUAUA